AUGAAUUGCCUAGUUUGGAACUGUCGAGGGGCGGGGAACCCUCGAACAGUUCGAGAUUUGCAGGCUCUAUGUAGAGUCAAUUCCUCGAGGAUGGUGUUCCUUUGUGAAACUAGGCAGCAAAGGAACAAAAUGAGCAGACUUCGUAAUCGGUUAGGGCUGCGAGGGUUUGAUGGUAUUAGCAGUCAAGGAAAAAGUGGAGGUUUAGCAUUGUUUUGGGAUGAGUCUUUGUAUGUCAACGUGCAAGAUAUUAAUGAAAGAUGGAUUGAUGUGUUUGUACGAAUGUCACCCAAUGAUCCUCUUUGGCGAGUUACCUUUGUUUAUGGCGAGCCGAGGGUGGAGAAUAGGCAUAUGAUGUGGGAAACCUUGUGCAGAUUGAGGAAUACUACAGAUUUACCGUGGCUAGUCGCUGGUGAUUUUAAUGAGGUGCUGUGGGAUUUUGAGCACUCAUCCAUGACGGACAGACCACAAGCUCAGAUGACGGCGUUCAGGGACUGUUUUGAAACAUGUCAGUUAGUUGAUUUGGGCUUCUCUGGAUACCCCUAUACAUACAAUAAUAAGAGAAGUGGACGCGCAAACGUACAAGUUCGGCUGGACAGGGCUGCGGCUGACAAUGCUUGGCGUGAUCUCUUUCCGGAAGCGGCAGUGGUGCACCUCAUGUCACCGAGGUCGGAUCAUAGGCCGCUGCUUGUUCGCUGCACGCCGGAGACGCGUGUGAAGACGGGCAGAACACGGAGGUACGAGGUAAUGUGGGAACGAGAGGCAUCCCUUGCAGAAGUGGUGGAGGAGGCAUGGGCUUGA
rnacentral:rRNA from 1 species